rnacentral:lncRNA from 1 species
CUCCAGGCCUGCAAUUCCUUGCUGAGAACUUCAUCCCUUGAGGUCAUACAUCCCACUACCCAGACACUUUCUUUAGAUGCAAAAAUCCAUGGGAUGGUUAAUACCUGUAUCGCGAACCCUGAGCCAAGUUGUCAGGUCUCUUCUGUUGAUACGGUUGGAUCCUAACAAAGUUCGAAGUCAUGGCCUGGAAGAUGAAGAAAGAAAUGAAUGGAGGCUGCAGCAGUUUCUUCAGACAGAUCUAUGCUUUCUGUGACUUUCCUAUCACAGGUCCUGAGCCCCAGCACUACACAUUCAGAUUCAACAAGUCCGGAGUAGGGCUCUAGAGCUUGCACACUUCCCGGCUCCUAGAAGAUUCUAAGAUGGGAGGCUCGUGAGCCACACCCAGAGAAACACCAUCCUGUGACCAGAGAACAGGUUAGGAUACUGAACAUCCCCUCAUCUGCAGACCAAGAAAAACUGAGUUCUUGGCUAGCAUGGAGCCUAACUUGUGUUUUAGUUAAUUCUACUUCUGUCACUGGAGGUUGGAUUAAACAGUAAGAGAACGACUUCCAUACAACCAAAGGUGAACAUAAGGUAUAAAAAACCUGCAGAUAGAAGUAGAUUCCCAAGGAGGGAAAUGCUGAAACCCAGCAAAGGAGAUGACUGCAGUUCCUGACCUGAGACUCCGUCCUAUUUCCCUUAUGACAUUACCCAGUGGUGCUUUUCCUGUUCCUAGAAAGAAAACCAACAGGGUGCAGCCUUCGGUGGGUGGGGGUCUAUGUGUGCACAAGUGCACACAGUGAUUUUUAUAUAAAAAGGCUCACCACAGGACAGCCACCAGCAGGAUGAUGCCCAGAGCACCGGCAUUCUUACCAUAGCUAAAGAAAACCCUGAGUAUUUGGCCUCUGCAACCAGGGAACAAAGGGAGUUUUGAGAUGGCUGUGCGUAAAGGAGCUGGAAGUCAUUCCAGCAUUUAGAGCUUCAAUUGAAAAUAAACAAACAGCCCAAGCCUUCCCCAGGACCCAGUCUGCCAAGCACCAGCCUGGGAGUGCACACUGGCCACUGGGGCCAGCACAUGGCUAUUUAUAUUCAUAAUCCAAUUUGGACGGGGAAGGCGCAUGAAAAUAAAUUGAUUAUCUUGAAACUGUAAGAGCAAAAUUCAUCAGGACAAAAAAGUAAUGAAAUAAUAUAGAGGAAGUACCUGAGUAGGUCAUCUGAGGGGAUGUUUCUCGUGAACUGUCUCCAACCCAGUUUGCUUUCUGGAUUCAGACACGAGAAAACUGGCUGACAAAGUUCCAGAAAUCACAUGCCAACAUGUGGAUAGAGCUUUGCUGAGUAUUUUUCCCCUUUUCUGGGUGUGUGUGUGUGAGUGUGUGUGUGUAUGUGUGUGUAUAUAUAUAUAGUUGUGUGUGUGUAUAGAUUGUUUGACAGAGGGUUGAUUAUCUCAACUCAGUUUCUAGCUGGUGAGGAAGAAAAGUGGACAGUUCAUAAAAAACAACCAUCUUUCCCAAAUCUGAGGGUCAAACACAAGGGUACAUUAUCUUGGAAACACUGGCUUUCUAUCUUAGGUCUUGCCCAUCCUCUUUUCCCUAGAGGCUAGAUUCAACUCUGCCUUCCCACAGGAACAAUAGCAACCAUUUAUGACGCGUGUGGGAUAUGUCACCGGCUGGAGAUGCACAGUCAGGAAUAACCUGGGAUGGGGACUCUCGGCCUAUUUUAAAGAUAAGGAAAUGGAGGAUCAGAAUCGAAGUGACUAACCCAACACCACCUCGCUAAUCAAGUGGGGACUUGGGAUUAGAACCCAAGUCUGUCUGGGGUUUGUGUUGUGACACCAUACUGCCUCCCUGAAAAAACCUAAGGACAGUCUCUAAAAUCAACAUUCAUUCCCAGGAAAUGGGCACUUGCUGGGGUCAAGUCGGAAGAUGGGCCUGGACGAGAGGAGGCUUGGUAAAGCACUGAUAGCUUGGAGUUGAGAAAGUAUCCCUUUCUUAGCUCAGCUCCGAAGAGUUUACAAGACAGACUUAAGGAGAAACACUUUCACGGACUGCAUCUAUGAAGGCUGGCCCUUAAUUUGAGCUUUCUUCUCUCUGUAGAUGAAUUAUUUAAAAAUAAAAUAAUUUUGAUAAAACUCAUAACCAAAAACGAGGCUCAAACCUCACCUCCAUUUAUUAUCUAUUGGUCCUGAGAAAGGAUGUAACCUGUCUAGGAUUCAGGUAAUUUGUUUUUCAAGUGAGUAGACUGAAGAGGGAUGGAUGAGGCAGGACCCUGGACCAGGGUGGCUUCUGUGGUCCCCUCUAGCAAUGAAAUUGAUGAUUCUAAUAACUAACAGAAG